GUCUCGUUGGUGUAGUUGGUUAUCACGUGGGUCUCAUAACUACCAAAAUAUGACUGCUCUCAGAGUAGAUAUCCCAAGGCCGCCAGUUCGAGUCUGGCACGGGACA